rnacentral:rRNA from 1 species
GAUGAACGCUGGCGGCGUGCCUAAUACAUGCAAGUCGAGCGAACGGACGAGAAGCUUGCUUUUCUGAUGUUAGCGGCGGACGGGUGAGUAACACGUGGAUAACCUACCUAUAAGACUGGGAUAACUUCGGGAAACCGGAGCUAAUACCGGAUAAUAUUUUGAACCGCAUGGUUCAAAAGUGAAAGACGGUCUUGCUGUCACUUAUAGAUGGAUCCGCGCUGCAUUAGCUAGUUGGUAAGGUAACGGCUUACCAAGGCAACGAUGCAUAGCCGACCUGAGAGGGUGAUCGGCCACACUGGAACUGAGACACGGUCCAGACUCCUACGGGAGGCAGCAGUAGGGAAUCUUCCGCAAUGGGCGAAAGCCUGACGGAGCAACGCCGCGUGAGUAAUGAAGGUCUUCGGAUCGUAAAACUCUGUUAUCAGGGAAGAACAUAUGUGUAAGUAACUGUGCACAUCUUGACGGUACCUAAUCAGAAAGCCACGGCUAACUACGUG